UCCUUUUUAUUAGAAGCUUGGCGGACUAUUAAUCCGUAUGUCACUGGUUCAAGUCCAGUAGAGGGAA
rnacentral:tRNA from 1 species